UACGUACCGUACGAACGUUAUUCGGAAUUACUGGGCUUAAAGGGUUUGUAGGCGGCCACGUAAGUCAGGUGUGAAAUCCCUCGGCUCAACCGAGGAACGGCGCUUGAUACUGCGUGGCUUGAGGGAGACAGGGGUAAGCGGAACUGAUGGUGGAGCGGUGAAAUGCGUUGAUAUCAUCAGGAACACCGGUGGCGAAAGCGGCUUACUGGGUCUCUUCUGACGCUGAGGAACGAAAGCUAGGGUAGCGAACGGG
rnacentral:rRNA from 1 species